AGGUCUUUAAGGACAAUAUAUUGCACUAAUAUUGAACAUAUGGUAUGUAUAGCCUAAGGAUUCGUUUGCACAUGUUGUGUAUUAGUAUUAAUACUGAGUAGGGCAUUUUGGAGACCGAGCUCCAUGGAGCCCUUUAUUUUGAAAAAUUUAAAAUUCACAAAUUUUGGUUUAAAAAAUUCUGAAAACAAUUAGACAUGUAUGCAAGGAUGUAAAGUGUAUGUGUGAAAUUUUUUAGGAUGAAAUACCUUGAAUUGCGAGCUGCACACAAAAAAAACAAAAUCAUGGACUUUAAAGAUGAACAGUACAUAUGCUAAAAAGCCUCAGAUAUAUCUUUUUUGUGUAGCUCAUAUUUUAUUGUAUUUCGAACUUCAAAUUUGCACACGUGUACAUAAUGUAUCUAGGUAUAUGUGUAUUUAUUUUCAGAAUUUUUUGAAACUGAAAAGUUUGAAUUUUGAAGUUUUCAAAUAAAGGCCUCCAUGGAGCUCGGUCUCCGUUUGGCAUUUUUGAUUAAUACUUCACUUUUAAAUUUUACAUAUAGGUCACUGCCGCGGAGUUAAAGGACUUCUUCGAGAGACAUUUUGGCUCGGUUAGCAAAUUCAACAAAAAACAUCAUAUAUAAUUGUAUUCAUUUUUUAAAAAAAUUGCAAAAGAAAAACAAGUAUAAUACAUGUGUAUCCUUGUUUCAAUGGAUUAUAGGUUUCUCAUGUGAGGCUUUUGGGUCAUAACAACCAUGCCACUCAGAUAGCUUUUAUUGAGUUUGUGGAGAUGAUAAUCUCAAUCCAUUAUAUCUUCUAUUGUGUUAUAUAUUUUACUUGGCUAUAAUUAUAUGUGUAUCCAUCCUCGUACUUAUCAUGUGGACAUCGUACUUGUAUGUGUGUGACCCACUCUAUUUUCAUGUACAUAUAUCUUAU
rnacentral:lncRNA from 1 species